GCUGCACCAUGGCCUGGGCUCUUCUCUCCCUCCUCACCCUGCUCCUCUACUGCACAGGGUCUCUCUCCCAGUAUUCGCUGACUCAGUCACCCUCUAUAAGUGUCUCCCUGGGAGCCUCAGCCAAGCUCUCCUGCACACUGCAGAGCGGCUAUGACAGCUACAAUGCAGAAUGGUACCAUCAGGGCCCAGGGAAGGGCCCCCGGUUUGUAAUGCGUGUUGGACCCAAUGGUCUUGUUGGAAACAAGGGUAAUGGGAUCCCUGAUCGCUUCUCAGUCUCAGGCUCUGGCCUGGAUCGAUACCUGACCAUCCAGAAUGUCCAGGAAGAGGAUGAGGCUGACUACUACUGUGGGAUUAGCUAUGGAACUUGGGACAACUAUACACAGUGA